rnacentral:rRNA from 1 species
GGUAUGGGAUGAGCUUGCGUCCGAUUAGCUAGUUGGCGGGGCAACGGCCCACCAAGGCGACGAUCGGUAGCCGGCCUGAGAGGGUGAUCGGCCACAUUGGGACUGAGAUACGGCCCAGACUCCUACGGGAGGCAGCCGUAGGGAAUAUUGCACAAUGGGGGAAACCCUGAUGCAGCAACGCCACGUGUGGGAAGAAGCAUUUCUGUGUGUAAACCACUGUCGUGAGGGAAUAAGGCGUCUUCUCGGAGGCGUUGAAUGUACCUCGAAAGGAAGCACCGGCAAACUUCGUGCCAGCAGCCGCGGUAAUACGAGGGGUGCAAGCGUUGUUCGGAAUCACUGGGCGUAAAGGGAGCGUAGGCGGAGAUGCAAGCGGACUGUACAAUACCGGGGCCCAACCCCGGGCCUGCAGUUCGGACUGCACCUCUUGGAUAGUUCAGGGGCAGGC